rnacentral:rRNA from 1 species
GUGCAAAGGUAGCAUAAUCAUUAGGGGUUUAAUUGGAACCUAGUAUGAAGGGUUGGACAAAGGAGAAACUGUCUCUAUAGUAUAGAUUGAAAUUUACUUUUAAGUGAAAAGGCUUAAAUAGUUCAAAGGGACGAUAAGACCCUAUAAAGCUUUAUAAGUUAUUUAAAUUUAGUUAAUUUAAAGAUAAAAAUUAAAUUUAAUUGUUGUUAUUUCGUUGGGGCGAUGUGAGUAUAAUUGAAGCUAACUGCUUAAAGAAAAUACUAUGAUGAUAGAUUAACAAUCAUGAUCCUUUUAUAAAGAUUAAAAGAUUAAGUUACUUUAGGGAUAACAGCGUUAUUUCUUUUGAGAGUUCAUAUCGAAAAAGAAGAUUGCGACCUCGAUGUUGAAUUAAAAUGUCUAUAUGAUGUAGCCGUUAUAUAAGAGGGUCUGUUCGACCUUUAAAUUUUUACAUGAUUUGAGUUC